AUUCUACUUGGAGAGCUUCACCGUGACACACGAGUGUUCCUUCCCACCCCAGACCUUUCUCGCUUCCCCUGGCGCAAACACCGGCAACUCUCCGGCGCGCUGGAUUAACAGACGCUCGCCCCUCUCAACUCCCCUAAGCGAGGUCGAAGCUCCUCCGCGCGUGCCGCGGCACCACUCCCGCCUAACCCACCCUCCGGCAACACUCGCCCACCAGCUCCCCAGUCCACCGGUCUAAGGAAGACGUGCGCGCGCCCCGCACCCGAGCCCCGGAGCUGGGGUUCUGCAGGGAGGGAAAGGCUGCUCCAGGGCUCCCUCCUCCAUCUCACUCCAGGCCGGCUCGCCGCCCACCCUGCCUGCGGAUCCCAGUACUCGCUGGGAGCCGGCCCUGCGCCUUCCUAUCAUGAAGACACCAUCCUCGCAUACCCAGCCCAGAACCCCAGCUACCCUCCACCCUGUAGACACCUCGCGGUUCCGCAGGAGGCGCCACGCCGCCCCUCCCCCACACCGCUCCCCCAGUUCUCGGGCCCCCACCAGAAAGUGUGCGCUACACGCCGCCUCGGCCAUCCUCCGGGACGUCCCCACUUGUCCGCGGGAGGUCAGGUCCAACAUGAAGGGGAAGGGGCGGCAAGGGGUACAGUGCGCGCCGGGAACGCCGUCCCGCGGAGUCCCCCAGUCAGAAGGAAGACGGAGCGCGGGGACCCGUGGGGGUGGGGGCCAAAGGCAAUACUCACCGGUUCGACAGUCGCCAUCUUAGAUCGAUCUGAUCGCACAACCGCUCCAGAAGGGGGGGUAAGAGGAAAAAAAUGAGAUUCAAACCGGAUUGGCCAGCUUCUGGCCACGUGACGGAUAUGUCCGUUUGGCCCUGGCGGCACCUGCGCAAGACUGCGGCUGCGUGAGUAACGAGAGGCUUCUGGGAAGUGGAGUCUCUCCCCCACCUUUUUUUUUUUUUUUUUUUUAAGGUAAAGAAAUUUUUUUUAAAAAGGACUGGUCACGUGGCCGAUGGGUAGGGUGCGCGGUUCUCAACGCGGCGGACACUCGCUUGCUGGAGGGUGGUUUCAGUCCUCUGCUCUUCCGCCUGGAUAGCUGCGGUCACACUUACUGCCAGGCAAGCCUACUGUGCCCUUUGUCGCCCUGUCCUCCCAUCUUCCCCGGAAGGUUGGGAACUGCAGGCUCAGCACACACAAUAAGGCUUCAUUUGCUUAGUUGAGGUCCCAGGACAAGUUGCCUGUGUGUUUAUUUAGUUUUCUUUUGAUCUCCCACCAUUUUCUCUUAGUUUCAAAAAGAGGCGGCGAUGCAGAGUCGUUUAGGCAAUCAACCCUCCCACGUCCCCUGGCUCAGCUAAUGCUGGUGGUCAUUCGUUGCCAUUUCUGCGAAAGGGGACGGACGGAACCGCCCGCAGUACCCGCUUGCCACCGGCUGGACGAGGGGGAGGGACGACAGCUUUUACUGUCCCAAAUCCUGAGAUUAAGACCUCAGGGCUAAAUCUUGCGUGGCGGUAAAAAUUAUUUGGAAGUUCUGUGCAACCGUUCCAAUAUUCCGCUUUUACGUGCACGGAAAUAGCCUAAGUCCAGAUGCCAGCCAGGGAAGCCACUCCGGGCCCCGCUGACUAAGCCCUGGACUGAUGGUCUGGAGUCUUUAGGCCGGGUCAACUAUGACUCUUGACGUUGACUCAUUCUCCUUAGGCGAGUGACUUAAUCGCUCGGCGUCUCAGCUUUUUUAUUUAUGAACCAAAGGUGAUGAUACACUUACCUCACAAGGGUGUGCUUCGUAAUGACUGUAACCGGCUUUGAAAAUGCAUCGGACUCUAGAAAUGAUUCAUAAUAAGCAACUGCGUGCCUUCCUAAAGAUCAAGUGCUUCUGCUUUUUUUUUUUAGCAAAGUUUAAAUUUUUUUCUGUUUACUUUGUUUGAUUAUGAUGUACACCAGUGUAGUUUUAAAUGUUCAGGACCAUUUUUUUUCCUUUACAACUGCAGCUGCCCUCAAUAGAGGCUUUAAUGUUCAUGAAAUUAUUGUUAUGCUCACAACAAUCACUGGCAAUCAGAAAUUUGUCCCCACACUGGCAUCCUACAUUUCCUUUCCCUCUAAGAUACUGUGCUGUCAUUUCUCAAGACCGUGUUUUUUGCACAGUUUGGCUACUAAUAACAACAAAUAGAGAUGAAGAAAUCUAGUAGACUCCUAAGGUUCUAAUGAAGAAGACACUGUCUCAUUACUAUUUCCCAUGCUUUUAAAUAAUGUUGACACCAGGAAAAGGAGUGUAUGCAGGCUGCCUGUGCCUGUCUGCUUAUAGUGUUAAUGAGGUCCAGAGCUGUGUCAUACCUAUUAUUGAGUACAUAAUGGAUGCUUGAGUUGACUAACACAUAAUUGAGGCUGUAUGAGAACUCAAAGCCAUUGCCUGUUCAUAUGUUUUGGUUUACCUGAAUAUCAGAAGUGAUUAAUGAAAGCUUUUGUCUAGUGGGCUUAGCUCUACUAGGUUUUAAAGUAGAUAGAAUUAACAGGCCAGGCGCAGUGGCCCACGCCUGUAAUCACAGCCCUUUGGGAGGCCAAGGCGGGCGGAUCACCUGAGGUCAGGAGUUCGAGACCAGCCUGACCAACAUGGUGAAACCCUGUCUCUACUAAAAAUACAAAAAUUAGCCAGGCAUAGUGGCACCUGCCUGUAGUCUCAGCUACUCAGGAGGCUGAGGCAGGAGAAUCACUUGAACCUGGGAGGUGGAGGUUGCAGUGAGCCAAGAUCCCGCCACUGCACUCCAGUCUGGGCGACACAGUGAGACUCCAUUUCCAAAAAAAAAAAAAAAAUGAUAAUAAACGGAUAAGUGGAUUUCUACUUACAGAGACUAUCUACUGUUACUUAGACUAUCCAAAAUAAUUCUGUUGACCGCGUUGUUAUUUUCUGCUGGUUAGAAGUGGUGUCAGGUUACCUUCUUUGAAGAGAAAAAGACAGCAUAGAUGUCCUAUUUUCCCCUUCCCCACCCUUCCCCACCCUUCCUCUCCCUUCCCUACCCUUCCCCUCCCUUCCCUUCCCUUCUCUUCCCCUCCCCUCCCCUGUCCUCCCCUCCCCUCCCUCCCCUCCCCUCCCAUUCUCUCUCUCUCUCUCUCUUCCUUCCUUCCUUCCUUCCUUCCUUCCUUCCUUCCUUUCUUUUUGUCUUUUCAGGGUGUUGCUCUGUUACCCAGGCUGGAGUGCAGUGGCAUGAUUAUGGCUCACUGCAGCCUUGACCUUCUGGGUUCAAGGGGUCCUCCCACCUUAGCUUCCCAAGUAGCUAGGACUACAGGCAUGGGCCACCAUGCCUAGCUAAUUUUUUUAUAUUUUGCAGAGACAGGAGCGUCUAGCUAUGUUCCCCAGGCUGGUCUCAAACUCCUGGGCUCAAGCGGUCCCCCUACCUGGGCCUCCCAAAGUGCUGAGAUUGCAGGCAUGAGCCACCAUUCCUGGCCAGAUGUCCUAUUUUCAUGAAGCUGUUAUAUAACAGCAAAAAAUCAAUGAGAUUGGCAAGAAAAUACCUAUAGGACUGAAAGCCAGUGAUGUUCUUAAAACUUUUUUUAAACAACAGUUUCCAUUUUUAUUAAAUUUUCUGUUAAUCAAAAAACUCGGGCCGGGCACGGUGGCUCAUGCCUGUAAUCCCAGCACUUUGGGAGGCCAAGACGGGCGGAUCACGAGGUCAGGAGAUCGAGACCAUCCUGGCUAACACGGUGAAACCCCGUCUCUACUAAAAAUACAAAAAUUAGCUGGGCAUGGUGGCAGGCGCCUGUAGUCCCAGCUACGCGGCAGGCUGAGGCAGGAGAAAGGAGUGAACCCAGGAGGUGGAGCUUGCAGUGAGCGGACAUCGCGCCACUGCACUCCCUCAGUCUCAAAAAAAAAAAAAAAAAAAAAACUCCCUCUUGUCAACCAAGACUCAUACUUUUACAAUACUUAUGGAUGCUCUAUUCUUUAUGGUUUAGUUUCUUUCCAUUUUUUACAUAGUUUUCAACAAUUUUUCUUUAUAAUUUUCAAGCACAGAGUUUCAGGAAAAUCUCCAUUUUUGUAUAUACUUUGUUGUGUGUGUUUUAUGACCAUUAAUGUGUCUUUGCCUAUUUGAGAUUCUACCAUUUCAAAGAUUUAACGAUUAGGUUUUUAUGUAUGUGUGUAUGUGGUUGUUUUGUUUUGUUUUUGCCAAUCCUAAAUAUAUAGAGCUGAAAUUUUAUGUUUUAUUUCUCUAUUUAUUCUCUAUUAUUCUUUAUUGCUCUUCAAAGGACUUGUAAUUCCAAGUUCAUUUACAGAACUGACCAGAAACCAUCCAACAAGUACUAAGUUAGUAAUGGGAACUAUGUAACCAGUGGAGGAUAUUUAAAGGACACAGGAAGUACAGGCACUUCCUUCCCCGACUGUAAAAUCUGGUUGGCGUACUAAGUCAUAGAAAUAUAAAUAGUUCAGUACCCAUAUAAAGAGGUGUGACUAAGAACCAAGAGGAUGCAGUUAACAAGCACCAUAACCAGCACACAUUCACAUAAUGAAUGAGCGAAUCAUAUACUUCCUUCCCUCAUUUCAUCCAGGCCUCUGUUCCAAUGUGAUCUCCUGAAGGAAGGCUUCCUUGACCACCCUAUCUAAAUUACUGUUUCCAUUACUCUUUAUCCCCUCACUCUGCUUUGGUUUUCUUUAGGCCACUUCAUAACCCUAACUCUAAACUUGCUGUUAAACAUUAUUUAAUUAGUUGUUGAUUGACCCUACUACUAAAAUAUUAGCUCAUUGAUGAUUUGUAGAUAGAUUGCUAUCAAAUAUUUGGGGAAAACUCAAAUGUAAUUUUUUUUUCCCGAGAUGCAGUCUCACUCUGUUGCCCAGAUCUUGGCUCACUGCAACCUCUGCUUCCUGGGUUCAAGCGAUCCUCCUGCCUCAGCCUCCCAAAUAGCUGGGACUACAGGUGCGUGCCACCACACCUGGCUAACUUUUGUAUUUUUAGUAGAGAUGGCCAGCCUGGUCUCGAACUCCUGACUUCGUGAUCUGCCCGCCUCGGCCUGCCAAAGUGCUGGGAUUACAGGCCUGAGCCACUGUGAACCCUUAUUUUAAUUUUACAGUUUGAGAGACACCAAUUCCCAUUACCUACUCAGGACAUUGCUUAAAAACAUGGGAUGUACGCAAACAUGACCAAGGAAUUUUGAAUAUUAAAAGAUUGGAGCAGAAUUGGAAUUUAAAAAAUUAUUUUAUUAUUCUAGUUAGUUUUUUGUUUACUCUCUCCUUGGUGAUUUUUAUGAGACUGAGGCACUACCUACUGGCUAAAAAGGCACCUUGAUUUUUAAAAGAAAAUCAAGAAAAAGAAAAAGAAAAAAAUUUUUUAAGGGAAACCUCUUCUGCUAUUCUAAUAUAUCCGUGUGCCAACAUUUUAUGCUUUUACAAUUAUAGGGUGCAAAGAGUUUUUGUUUGUUUGUUUAGAGACAGGGUAUUCCUAUACUACUAGGCUGGAGUGCAGUGGCACAAUCCUGGCUUACUGCAGCCUCUAACUCUGGGGCUCAAGCGAUCCUCCCACCUCAGCCUCCUGAACGAUGGCUAAGACUACAAACAUGUGCCACCAUGCCCAGCUCAUUUUUUUAUUUUUUGUAGAGAAAAGAUCUUGUUAUGUUGCCCAGGCUAGUCUCGAACUCCUGGGCUCAAGUGAUCCUCUGGCUUUGGCCUCCUAAAACUCUGAGAUUAUAUGUAUGAGUCACCCCCAGCCUGCACAAACAAUUUUGAAUUCUACAUUUUUUUCCACAUGACAUCUUAUUGCAAACAUUUUGGACAUUGCCUAUAGAUGGGAUAACAGUUUUUAAACUUUUUUUUUUUGGAAAAAUUUUAAACUUACAGAAUACUUGUAAUAGUAACUCUUCUUCUAAGCCCUUCUAAAUUCACCAAUUAUUAAUUUGUUGCAUUGCCUCUCUUAAUCUCAUUACUUCUGAACCAUUUGAGAGGAAGUUGCAGGCAUGAUGAUCCUUUACCUCUAAAUACUUCAGCAUGUUCCUCCUAUGAAUAAAGACGUUUUCUUACAGCACCGUAAUACAAAUAAUGAAAUCAUGAAAUAUAAUAGUAGUUUUAUCUAAAAUAAAAACCAUAAAAUCAAUAUUCGUAUUUUGCCAGUUUCUUCACUCAUUUUGACAGAAAUACUACAAAAAUAAUAUUGUAUUCUUCCUGGUGCAUCACAUCAUCGGUAACAUUAGUGGCUUCAGAAUAUUCUGCUGAGUGGAUAUAUCACAGUUCCCUUAAUCAGUUCCAAAUGGUUACAUAUUCAGGUAAUUUCCAGUCUUAUAUUAUUAUAAUGUUCUAAUGCAUACAUUUAUGAGAAAUGUGUUUUCCUAUUUAGAUGAUUUCCUCAGGACAAUUUUUCAUCAAUAGAAUUAGUUUAUAGGAUACAUAGUUUUGACUGUUUAUACAUAAUGGAAUUCAUGUUGCUCUCCAAAAGUGUGGUAUCGGCAUGAGAUGUCACAGCCAACUUAUCAGUGUUGGGUGUUAAAGGAAUUAAAAGAAUGUAUCGUUAAUGAUUCUUGUUGCUAGUUUCAAUAUUUACUUAUUCACAGCCUUUACCUUUGUUCCAUUACCUGUUAUUUUGGAAAUGUUGAAAUCUACAAAAAAUUUGAAACAAUACAACAAACACUUAUAAACCCUUCACCUAGAUUCUCUAGUUGUUAAUCUUUGAAUCAAUAAGGAUUGAUAAGGGCUGGGCGUGGUGGCUCACACCUGUAAUCCCAACACUUUGCGAGGCCGAGGAGGGUGUAUCACUUGAGCUCAGGAGUUUUGAGACUAGCCGGCCAACAUGGAGAAACCUCAUCUCUACUAAAAAUGCAAAAAUUAGCCAAGCAUGGUGGCGUGCACCUGUAGUCCCAGCUAUUCAGGAGACUGAGGCAGGAGAAUCACUUAAACCCAGGAGGCGGAGCUUGCAGUGAGCUGAGAUCGUGCCACUGCACUCCAGCCUGGGCGACAGAGUGAGUCUGUCUCAAAACAAACAAACAAAUAAGGACUGAUAAGAAUACUGAUGUAAUUUUGAAAAGUAUGUAGUAGCCAAGGGGCCUGUCACAUAUGGAAGAGUUAUGGAAAUGGUUAAUGGAACAUGGAGUCUCUAGGUGCAAUAUAGAUGGGCAGCCAAGAAGGGUAUUAUUCAAUUUACACUACGAAAAAAAAAUAAAUAAGUAAAAAUUAGGGCCAGGUGAAGUGACUCAUGCCUGUAAUCCCAGCACUUGUGGGAGGCCAAGGCAGGAGGAUUGCCUGAGCCCACCAACCUGGGCAACACCGUAAGCCCCAGCCUCUAAAAAAAAAUAAACAUAAAAAUAAAUGAUGGAUGAUAAGGAGGCCAUAGGCAGUUGUACCAAUAAAACAUCAAAAUCUCCUGCCAAGUUCCUGGACCUGAGCCAAUUUUUAGACCCAAAAUCCAUUGACUGAAGAAGUUAGGUGCGAGGGAGAAAGGAACCGUGGCAAGCAAUGGGGUUAAUGAUUCCCCAGUUCUUCCCCCAAAAUGAUCUAUGGCUGUUUACUUGUGCAACUGUAUGCUUUGUAAAGGGGAACACCCAAGCAGUUCUAAUACUGCCGGACUCAGGUUUGACUUGACAUUGAUACCCAGAGCCUGAAGUACUAUCCUAGCCUUCCUGUUUAAGUGAGGAUAUACGGGGUUCAGGUAAUACAUGAAAAGCAAAUAAAAAUGGAAGGUCCAAAAUUCCUUAAAUGUCUUUUAAGCAACAUUAAUAGGAGACUAUUAUAUACAGUUGACCCUUGAACAACACGUGUUUGAACUUUGUGGGUACAUUUACACAUGGACUUUUUAAAUAUAAAUAUACUGCAAAUAUUUUUGGAGAUUUAGGACAAUUUGAAAAAUCUCACAAACUGCAUAGCCUAGAAAUAUUGAAAAAAUUAAGAAAAAGGUAUGUCACGAAUGCAUAAAAUAUAUGUGUUAAUAGAUAGAGUAUGUUAUUGGUAAGGCUUCUGGUCAACAGUAGGUUAUGAAUAGUUAAGUUUUGGGGGAGUCAAAAGUUAUAUGUGAAUUUUCAGCUGGGCAUCUCAUACCUAUAAUCCCAGCACUGUGGGAGACCAAGGCGGGUGGAUCACUUGAGGCCAGGAGUUCAAGACCAGCCUGGCCAGCAUGGCGAAACCCUGUCUUUACUAAAAAUACAUUAGCUGGGCAUGGUGUCGUGGACCCGUAAUCCCGGCUACUUGGGAGCCUGAGGCACGAGAAUCGCUUGAACCCGGGAGGCGGAGGUUGCAGUGAGCUGAGAUCAUGCCAGUGCACUCCAGCCUGAGCAACAGAGCAAGACACUGUCUCAAAAAAAAAGUGUUUUAACAUUUAAAAAAAUUAAAUAAAAAAGUUAUAUGUGAAUUUUCAACUGCGUGGGGGGCUGAACACCCCUAAUUCACACAUUGUUUAAGGGUCAACUACUGGGAAACCAACAGAUGUGUCUUCUGUAAUGAAAACCACACAGAAUCUGUAGAAUGUAGUGGUCAACGAUUUUGUAGAUUUGAAAUGAAGAGGGAAUAGCUGUUUUACUCUCUGGGAGAAGACUAUCUGUAAGAGACUUCCAGGCUAAUGAAAUUGGUAAGGUACUGGCCAGGCAUGGUGGCUCACGCCUGUAAUCCCAACACUUUGGGAGGCCGAGGCGGGCAGAUCACGAGGUCAAGAGAUCGAGACUGUAAGAUACAAUGAAUUUCUUUGAACUUCUCUUCAAAGGUUUAGCCUGCUAACUUCCUUGUCCUUUGUUCUCAAACUCAGUUUUCCUGUUCCUCCUUGCCCCUAGUUACUGUAAAACAGCCUACCCCCUUCCUGUCAGCUCUAAUCAAUAACUCACAUCUUUUCCCUUGGUUACCUGCAGCCAUUGUUCCCCCGAAACUGCACGUCUCAAACAGUCUCACAUGCUUUACCACUGUACCUCACGUCCCCCUGCCCUUCCAUAUUUAGAAAAAUAUUUGCAAGUAGCCAAUCGGGUCAGCUCAGAUUGUGCGGUCCGACCCCAGCCCAUCGGGGAGGGACAAAGAGGUAGGGAUUGCAUUAAGGAUAUAAAAAAACCCUGAUGUCCUUUAUUCUCUGUGCUCUUGCGAUCUCGAUUGACACAAGUGGCACCCUUCUUCCGAAGUAAAUUGCCCUGCUGAGACAACUUUUGCCUGAGUGCUGGUUUCACUUUGUGGCACCGAGCAUUUAUUUCCAGAACAUUUUUUUAUCCAACAAGACCAUUCUGGCCAACAUGGUGAAACCCUGUUUCUACUAAAAAUACAAAAAUUAGCUGGGCUUGGUGGUGUGCACCUAUAGUCCGAGCUACUUGGGAGGCUGAGGCAGGAGAAUCGCUUGAACCCAGGAGGCGGAGGUUGCAGUAGGCUGAGAUAGCGUCACUGCACUCCAGCCUGGCAACAGAGCGAGACUCGCCUCAAAAGAGAAGGAAGGAAGGAAGGAAGGAAGGAAGGAAAAGAAAUUGGUGAAAUUGGUACUGACAUGAAAUUACAAAGUGCAUUUUAGUCUAAAUAAAUAAGAAAGAAAAAUAAGGUAUCAGAGGAAUCUGAGACAAGAGAAAGUUGGCUGGAGAUAGUUAAAAUAUUUCUAAGGCCCAGUCUCUUGAGAUAGACCUGUAGCCAAUAAUUUACAUAAUAAUAACAAAAAUGACAAGGGAGUGAGUAAACAAGUAGUUCACAGAGCUAAAAGCAAGGCAUGAUGCAAGGUGUGAAUGGAAUUAGUAAGUAAAAUGUGUUGCCUGGGUAUGUAGAAUUUGAUAUUUGUUUUAACAAAUUUAAAAACUGUCAGCUGCUACUUUAAGUGGAGACAGAAUUUCCCUUUAGCACAUUUUUAUUCUGAGAAGAAUCACAGUAGUGGCUGCUUUUAGUUAUGUAAAUGUAUGGGCAAAAGCAUAAUUGCAAACUAGGGCUGCUGGUAGACUGCUCCACUUCUCUAAUUCUCUCUUCAGCAGCCAAGUAGCUUGGUAUUAGGAUAGUCCUCUUGGACUAGUAAGUUUCUAGGCUUUUUAAUUAAUUCAGAGGGAAAUGCGACAACAGAAACUACUUCCCCAAUAAUGAGUGGAAAGUACCAAAAUUAAAUAAAUAUAACUGAGGUGUAAUUUUAGGGAAGAACAAUUGGAUUGUGAUUUCAACCAAGGAAUGUAAAACUAUGUGGUUGCAAUAUAUUCUGCCUGAACUAAAAAAGUGCUUUAGCAGAGGAAAGGAAAUUGGUAGUAGUCUCCCUGUCAUGUUGAAAAGGAAAGUCCAGAAAGAUUUGGCUGUGUGUUGCCUGCACUACUCGGGGCCCUAGAAUACAAAUAUGGUAGCUGACUCAUGGGGUAAGUAUCUCCCUAUGUCAGACUAGGAAAGUUAGUGACACUUAUCAUUAUUGAAUAGGUUAUAAAACUCAAGAACAGGACAGGUGUGGUGGUUCAUGCCUGUAAUCUCAGCACUCUGGCAGGCCAAGGGAGGAAGAUGACUUGAGCCCAGGGGUUUGAUACUAGCCUGGGCAACAUAAUUUUAAAAAAUAAAUUAAUUUUUAACAAUAAAAUAAAUAAAAUACAUAACCUCAAGGACAACCUUAUAAAAUUAAUCCUGAUAAUUGCUCCUAGAUGAAUGCUGAUGAAGGUAAGUGAAUUCUAAAAACAGUACUAAUCUCCCUUCUACCUCACCAAAUAUGUUUCUUUUCCUGAAUUCUUUAUCCUGGUUAAUUAUAAAAUCAUCUUCCAGUCACUCCUUUCCUAAAAUCUUGUCAUCAUCUCUCCAAUGAUGGUCACUCUUUCAUCCUCCACAUCCAGUAAAUCAGCAAGGUUUAGCAAUUAUUAUUAUUAUUAUUUUUCAAGACGGAGUCUCCCUCUGUUGCCCAGGCUGGAGUGCAGUGGCUCAAUCUUGGCUCACUGCAACCUCCGCCUCUUGGGUUAAAGUGGUUAUUGUGCCUCAGCCUCCCUAAUAGCUAGGACUACAGGCGCGCCCCACCAUGCCGGCUAAUUUUUGUAUUUUUAUUAGAGACAGGGUUUCACCAUGUUGCCCAGGAUGGUCUUGAACUCCUGACCUCGAAUGAUCCACCUGCUUCAGCCUCCCAAAGUGCUGGGAUUACAGAUGUGAGCCACCAUGCCUGGCCAUAUUUUUAUGUUCUCAAGUAUUCCCUCUCCUCUUCAUUCUCACUGUCUUAGUGUAGUGGACAUCUAUAUAUCUAUAGUUCAGCUUUCUUUUUGUAAUACUUGCAAUUCUGAUCUUUUGGGGACCUAUUCCUUCUCACUCUAACCAUGUGGUUCUACUGGGACUUGCCUCAUGGUUCCCCUUACACCAUUAUUGGAGGCACAUGACCUGGGUGGAAAAUUAGAAGGAGUCAUAACUGAAAGGGUGAAUGCAGACACUUCACUUUAUACAAGUCAAGGUUAUCGUAGUGGUCAUGGUGGAUGACUUCUCAACAAGAGUCUCUCACAAUGAUUAGUCUAAGUCAGAAGUCACCAUACUGUGGACAUUUAGGGUCAGAUAAUUCUUAGUUGUGGAAGUUGUUUUAUGUAUUGUGAGAUGUUUAGCAGUAUCCCUGGCUUCUAUCCUUUAGAUGCCAGUGCACCCUUUCUCUAAGGUGUGACAACUAAAAAUACUCCAGAUAUUGCCAAGUGACUCCUAGACAGUGAAAUCAUCUCAGGUUGAGAACUACUGGCCUAAACUAUUUGUGGCAAUCCUAUUGCUUAUUUCAUUGGUCUCCAAAAACAGGCCAAUGUAAGGUGUAAAAGUUUUGUCCACUAGAGGGCUUCUGGGAAGGUUUCCACAAUCCUGAGAAAGUCGACUGGAAUUAAGAGCAUUUUCUUGAGAGAAGUUGUUUUUAUGUGAAUACUUAAACUGGCUGCAGUCAACAUGGAGGGGGAAAUGGAGAAAUAAGGAAUGUAAAGUAGGAGAUAGAAUAAAUUUUACUCCUUAACUGUUGAGCCGAUGACUUCUCUGCAUGAGCCUAAAACAAUCUUAUCUCUGUACUACCACUUAUUUUUGAGUAUAUAUGUAUGUACUAAAAAAAAAAAAAAAACAGCUCAAAUGGGAGUGUACUGUACAUGCUUUGUGUUACUUCUUUUUACAUAUUUGUAGGUGAUGCUUUCAUAUAAGUAUAUAGAAAGCUGCCUAAUUCUUUUCAUUGACUGCAAAUUAUUUCAUUUCAUAGAUAAGGAAUAAUUCAUCUAACCAGUAUCUUGGAGUCUUUUAUGUGUGUUUUUUUUUAAAAAAAAAACAAAAACAAAAACAUUUUUUCUAAUGCAAAGAAUGGUUCCAUAACUUUCCAUUAUACACAAGUCAUUGGAAUAGACUUGAGAAGAGGAAUUAUUAAGACGGACGCCAUGGCUCAUGCCUGUAAUCCUGACACUUUAGGAGCCCGAGGAAGUGGAUCACUUGAGCUCAGGAGUUUGAGACCAGCCUGGCCUACGUGGUGAAACCCCGUCUCUACUAAAAACACAAGAAAAUUAGCUGGGCGUGAUGGCACACACCUGUAAUCCCAGCUACUCAGGAGGCUGAGGCAGGAGAAUCACUUGAACCCAGGAGGAGGAGAUUGCAGUGAGCCAAGAUCAUGCCACUGCACUCCAGCCUGGGUGACAGAGUGAGACUCUGUCUCAAAAAAAAAAAAAAAGACAAAUUAUUAGGUGUGCAUGUGUGAUUUUCAUAGAUAUUAUAAAAUAUCCUGGGAAGAGAUUGAAUUAACAUUCUCAUUAUCAACAUAUGGUAGCCUCAUACUCUGAUUAAUAAAUUAUCAAACUUUGAGACGUAGUCUCGCUCUGCCACCCAGGCUGCAGUGCAGUGGCGCGAUUUCGGCUCACUGCAACCUUCACCUCCCGGGUUCAAGCGAUUCUCCUGUCUCAGCCUCCCAAGUAGCUGGGAUUAUAGGCAUGGGCCGCCAUGCCCGGCUAAUUUUUGUAUUUUUAGUAGAGAUGGGGUUUCACUAUGUUGGCCAGGCUGGUUUCCAACUGACCUCAGGCGAUCUGCCUGCCUCAGCCUCCCAAAGUGCUGAGAUUACAGGCUUGAGCCGCUGCACCCAGCCAGUUAUCAAACUUUUUGUGCUUUGGUAAUUUCAUGAAAUACUAUAUGCAAUGUAAUUUCAGUUUAUAUAAUAAAACUUGUCAGAAUGAAAAUGGAAUCAUUUGUGUAAAACCCUGGCAAAUGGAAGGCCUUGAAAGGAGGGUUGUCACGCAUGUAUGCCUAAUAACAAGAACUAUCACAAAAGAUAGCAAAAAACAUGACCUUACACAGAGGCUACUUCAACCUCAUACAAAAAAUACUUCUGUGAAAAAUAAAAAUACUUCUGUGAGCACAUGUGCUGAGCAACUGCCUGUCCAACCUUGGACUGACACCAUCCUCGUUAUUGGUCUCUGUAGGCAAAGAUAAUUGUUUCAAAAUAGUUAUGUAAUCCCCCUCAUUUUUCACUGAAAAACCCUUUUACCUCCCAGAACAUGCUCCCUGUAUUCCCAUUGCAAGGCUCAAUCCCCAAAACUAUCAUUUUCUUUUAUAGAGUCUCUCUCUGCCUGUUAUUUAGGUUGACAUAAUCUGGUGUCAAGAAGUGGGACCAAAGUGAGCUCACCUUGAUGGAUCGGUGACUCCUGGAAUCACAUGAAGUUCCCACAUUGAGCCCCUUUGAGCUCUCCAAUCCUACAGCUCACCUUUUCUGUCAUGGUGAAUCUCCUCUCAGGUUCUUGAACUCCCUCAUUUUGGUGAGUUCUUUUGACUUUCUUUGGGAUUUGUUUUGGAUAAUGGCUGCCUUAAUAAAGGACCUUGUAUCUCUCUUGAGACUAGAAAAUACAUUUUUUCUGACAAAUCCUUUCUGGUACAAAGAUAUUUUAUCUUUCUGGAGAGUAUACACUUCUGAUUUCUAUAAAAUUUACCUCAUGUAUUUUCUGGUGAGUUCUUUUUUUUUUCUUUUUGCAUGCCUUCGCAGCCAUUAUACAAUUCAGUGAGUCCUAGCUGAAAUGUAAAAACACCUGAGAAACUAACCACUAAAUUUGAGGCUUUAAAAAAAAAAGGUUCUUCAGUUUUGAGACCUGGACUGGGUUUCCUUGCUCCUCAAGUUUGCAGACAGCCUAUUGUUGGACCUUGUGAUCAUGUUCAAGUGAUUCUCCUGCCUCAGCUUCCUGAGUAACUGGGAUUACAGGCAAGCGCCACCAUGCCUGGCUAAUUUUGUAUUUUUAGUAGAGACAGGGUUUCACCAUGUUGAUCGGACUGGUCUCGAACUCCCAACCUCAGGUAAUCUUCCCACCUCAGCCUCCCAAAGUGCUGGGAUUACAGGCAUGAGCCACCACACCCGGCCUACUUUUUUUUUUUUUUAAGGCAGGAUCUUGCUCUGUUUCCCAGUCUGGAGUGCAGUGACACGAUCAUGACUCACUGCAGCCUCAACCUCUCAGACUCAAGCAAUCCUCUCACCUCAGCCUCCCAAAUAGAUGGGACUUUUUUUUUCUUUUUAAUUUUUUUAUAGAGAUAGGGUUUCACUAUGUUGCCCAGGCUACUCUCAACCUCCUGGGCUCAAGUGAUCCUCCCACCUUAGCCUCCCAAAGUGUCAGGAUUACAGGCAUGAACCAUCCUGCCCAGCCUAUUUUUGUGCAACUUUUUGAUGAAUAAGACUAGUUUAAUAUUGUUACUUUAGUGAAAACAGCUGUAUCUUCUAAGUAAUCAAUAAAAUAUCCAUGUACUUUAAGGUUCUUAAUGUGAACAUCUAACAUUCACAUGCUGUAAAAAUGGCUAACAGAAAGGUAACUUGAAAUAAUGAUUAGCUCUGUGUAAUAUCUGUUUUCAUAAGUAAUCUAGGUAUAAUGGUUAAAAAAUAAAUUAGGUAAAUGAAAAGGGAAUAAGUAUGUAUAAAUGAACUUUUCAUAUGAUUUGAGAUCUUAAAGUUAUGUUAAAUAAGUAAUAGUUAUUCAUUAAAUGUCUGGGUCAUAGCCAAAUAAGAUAAAAUAUGAAAACAUUAAUUACUGAACAUAGAUUCAAAUUAAUUUACUUUUGGCUUUUUUUUUUUCUUUUUUGAGACAAAGUUUCACUCUUGUCCCCCAGGCUGGAGUGCAAUGGCACAAUCUCGGCUCACUGCAACCUCCCCCUUACAGGUUCAAGCAAUUCUGCCUCAGCCUCCCAAGAAGCUGGGAUUACAGGCGCCUGCCACCACACCCAGCUAAUUUUUGUAUUUUUAGUAGACAGGGUUUCACCAUGUUGGCCAGGCUGGUCUCGAACUCCUGACCUCAGGUGAUCUGCCCGCCUUGGCCUCCCAAAGUGCUGAGAUUACAGGCAUGAGCACCAUGCCCGGCCUUCUUUUUUUUUUUUUUAGGCAGGGUCUCACUCUCACCCAGGCUGGAAUGCAUGAUCACAGCUCACUGCAACCUCUACCUCCCAGGCUUGAGCAGAUCCUCCCAGCUUAGCCUCCCCAGUAGCUAGGUCUACAGGUGUGAACCACCAUGCCCAGCUAAUUUUUUGAUUUUUUUUUUUUUUUUUUUUUUUUUUGAGCCAGAGUUGCGCUCUUGUUACCUGGGCUGGAGUGUAAUGGCGCAAUCUCAGCUAACUGCAUUCUUCGCCUCCCAGGUUCAAGCGAUUCUCCUGCCUCAGCCUCCCGAGAUUCUCCUGCCUCAGCCUCCCGAGUAGCUGGAAUUACAGGCAUGCGCCACCAUGCCCAGCCUUUGAUUUUUUUUUUUUAAGAGAUGGGGUCUCUGUAUGUUGCCCAGGCUUGUCUUGAACUCCUGGGCUCAAGCGGUCCUCUCACCUCAGCCUCCCCAAGUGCUAGGAUUACAGGCAGGAGACACCACACCUGGCCUACUUUUGGCUUCUUAAGUUUUAAAGAAAGAGAAAAGCUAUUUGGGCUUAUUAAUAAAUACGUUCUGUUUCACAUUGGAAAAUUGUUCUAUGAGAAAGCACAUGUUUCUAGAGAUUAUGAAAUACAUAUUCAUAGGAGGUUGAUGUAUGUCAGAUAGUUCAGAGUUUGCUUGCUUCCUGGGCUUUCACUAGAAAUUAGGGUUACUGAGAGUUAAAAAUUCUAAUUAAUGUAUGUGAUUCUGCAUGCAAGAUAUAUAAGAAAUUGUGUUUUUGAUGAGAAAAACUUUGAAGAUGAGAAUUUUUUUAAAGAAAAGAAUAGUUUUGUCUAAAUUCAGAGGUUAUUUAAGGUUAUUUUAAAAGUAAAUUUAGAAAGAAGAUAGCAGCAAGACAGAAAGGAACCAGUAGGAAGAAGAGAGGCUUGCAUAGAAAGUUAUAGGUAUGAAGAUGUAUUUUUGGAAAGGGAGGUUAAAAAGAGAAGAGGUUUUUUUUUUUGGUAUGAGAGAGAAUCUCAAGUGGUCAAAAUCAAAAGAAAAAAAGUAAAUUGUGUCCUAAAGUAAAAUGACUGGUUGUUAAAGAAAGAGCAACUAUAAAUAGGACAAAACCAAAAGUCUGGGCAGGUCACAGACAGUCUGAGCUAGUUGUAAAAGGUUUGUGAAAGAUGACUCUUACGAAAGAAAUUUUGUGUGUGAUAAAGUUGGCUAAAAU
rnacentral:lncRNA from 1 species